AUUUUUCUACAAUUUAGUCUGGAAGGUAUCCGAAUCGUCUUGCUAUCUCCUUUUCAUUAUAUGCACCCAGAUCCAUCACAGUUUUGUAUUUCAAAAUACUAUUUUACUAGUGAAAAAAAAAACAUAAAUAUCAUCAUUUCCAGUAAUAAAGUCGCAUAAAGUCGACCGAGAUAAAUGCCACUAUGGAGUUAUUGCGUCUAUUUGAGAUAUUUUUUUAAAUAACUUUAAUAGGUAUUAAGAGCUCCCGUCAUCAAGUGAUAAAAGCCUGAUCUAUUUGGAGAACAAAAGGUAACAUAGAGGGCGUAUCGAUUAAUCAGACCGGCCAAUUCCAGGAAUAACGGAAUAGACGCAAUAAACCCAUAUUGUGGUUGACAUUGUAUGUUUUAUAAAUUAUAUUAUAAAUUAUACAUAAAUAUCGGGACGAACUCUCUAUUUAUAAUAUAAAUGUUAGCUACUCAUAUAGUGACUGAGCUGUUUCCUAAAAGCGCUGUGAACGCAGUCCUCGUGUCGGGCUUCAAUAAUCCAUUCACUGCCCUGAUUCCACCAAAAAGGCUUCUUUUCGUUGAGAAUUCUACGGACUUAUGCCCUAUUUCAUAUGGAGAGCAUUGUGUAGGUUAAACGAGAAACAAUCUCGCCAAUUGAAUCAUAUUCACUACGCUGCGUAUAUCAUAGCUAUAUUAUGUACAGGUUAUUUAAAUUAAUCUAAAGUGGAGGUCGAGAGCUAUAAUAGCGAUAACGGAGGUAUUGAGACUAUUAAGCUGUAAAAGGGGACUAGAGAGAUAACAGUAGUAAAGUGGGAGAAACGGUGGCGUCCUAAUGGUUUUCAAGUAACUUAAUCAGAGAGUGCGUUCGGAUCAGCAUUACUCUUGAGCAGCAGCUGAAUGAUGAGGGUGUGGCCUUGCUGCGACGCUUGGUGCAGCGGAGUGAACCUGAACAGGAUACAAUUAAAGUCAAUUACAAACUAUACUAGGGCGCGAUACAAACAUGAAGAGCAAACGCAAAGCGCAUAAAGAGAUAUAGAGGUUUAAGAAAUGCUUGGCUGACAUCCUUUUCUCCUCUUCUCUCACUGACAGAUGACAUCAGCUUUGACUUGGGUUUGUCUCAUUUGCGAUGUUAAAUCAUUAUAAUGUAAAGUUUAAAGUAUAUUACUCUGUUAUAGUGUAAUGUUUAGAUAGUUAUUUUAUUUGUUGAUAUGGUGUUAAAUUAAUUUGUAACAUUUGCGCUUACUUGUAAAGCAUGCUGUGUACACUUGUUUUGGAUCUCGUGGUAGAUUCCAAGCCAUGAUAUGCAAUUGUAUGUUUCAUGAUAUUGUAGGAUUUCUGUUAAGUGUACCCAAUAAAGUCAAAUAAUAUAA